GAUGAACGCUGGCGGCGUGCCUAAUACAUGCAAGUCGAGCGAACAGAUGAGGAGCUUGCUCCUCUGACGUUAGCGGCGGACGGGUGAGUAACACGUGGAUAACCUACCUAUAAGACUGGGAUAACUUCGGGAAACCGGAGCUAAUACCGGAUAAUAUAUUGAACCGCAUGGUUCAAUAGUGAAAGACGGUUUUGCUGUCACUUAUAGAUGGAUCCGCGCCGCAUUAGCUAGUUGGUAAGGUAACGGCUUACCAAGGCAACGAUGCGUAGCCGACCUGAGAGGAUGAUCGGCCACACUGGAACUGAGACACGGUCCAGACUCCUACGGGAGGCAGCAGUAGGGAAUCUUCCGCAAUGGGCGAAAGCCUGACGGAGCAACGCCGCGUGAGUGAUGAAGGUCUUCGGAUCGUAAAACUCUGUUAUUAGGGAAGAACAAAUGUGUAAGUAAAUAUGCACGUCUUGACGGUACCUAAUCAGAAAGCCACGGCUAACUACGUG
rnacentral:rRNA from 1 species